UACAGAGACUGCAAGCGUUAUUCGGAUUCACUGGGCGUAAAGGGUGCGCAGGUGGCCGUGUGUGUCAGAUGUGAAAUCCCGGGGCUUAACUCCGGAACUGCGUCUGAAACUACACGGCUAGAGCAUUGGAGAGGGUAGUGGAAUUCACGGUGUAGCAGUGAAAUGCGUAGAUAUCGUGAGGAACACCAGAGGCGAAGGCGACUACCUGGACAAUAGCUGACACUCAGGCACGAAAGCGUGGGGAUCAAACAGG
rnacentral:rRNA from 1 species